rnacentral:rRNA from 1 species
GAUGAACGCUGGCGGCGUGCCUAAUACAUGCAAGUCGAGCGAACUGAUUAGAAGCUUGCUUCUAUGACGUUAGCGGCGGACGGGUGAGUAACACGUGGGCAACCUGCCUGUAAGACUGGGAUAACUUCGGGAAACCGAAGCUAAUACCGGAUAGGAUCUUCUCCUUCAUGGGAGAUGAUUGAAAGAUGGUUUCGGCUAUCACUUACAGAUGGGCCCGCGGUGCAUUAGCUAGUUGGUGAGGUAACGGCUCACCAAGGCAACGAUGCAUAGCCGACCUGAGAGGGUGAUCGGCCACACUGGGACUGAGACACGGCCCAGACUCCUACGGGAGGCAGCAGUAGGGAAUCCUCCGCAAUGGACGAAAGUCUGACGGAGCAACGCCGCGUGAGUGAUGAAGGCUUUCGGGUCGUAAAACUCUGUUGUUAGGGAAGAACAAGUACAAGAGUAACUGCUUGUACCUUGACGGUACCUAACCAGAAAGCCACGGCUAACUACGUGCCAGCAGCCGCGGUAAGAC